rnacentral:rRNA from 1 species
AUUGAACGCUGGCGGCAGGCUUAACACAUGCAAGUCGAGCGGAGAUGAGGUGCUUGCACCUUAUCUUAGCGGCGGACGGGUGAGUAAUGCUUAGGAAUCUGCCUAUUAGUGGGGGACAACAUUCCGAAAGGAAUGCUAAUACCGCAUACGUCCUACGGGAGAAAGCAGGGGAUCUUCGGACCUUGCGCUAAUAGAUGAGCCUAAGUCGGAUUAGCUAGUUGGUGGGGUAAAGGCCUACCAAGGCGACGAUCUGUAGCGGGUCUGAGAGGAUGAUCCGCCACACUGGGACUGGGACACGGCCCAGACUCCUAAGGGAGGGAGCAGUGGGGAAUAUUGGACAAUGGGGGGAACCCUGAUCCAGCCAUGCCGCGUGUGUGAAGAAGGCCUUAUGGUUGUAAAGCACUUUAAGCGAGGAGGAGGCUACUGAGACUAAUACUCUUGGAUAGUGGACGUUACUCGCAGAAUAAGCACCGGCUAACUCUGUGCCAGCAGCCGCAGUAACAC